rnacentral:snoRNA from 1 species
GCUUAAGUCUAUCUCUAUGUGCUCUCUCUGUAGAACCACAUCGUUGGAAACGCCUCACAGAAGAACAUUGUGCUUCAACUUUACUCACAGAAAUGUUUGUAAGAUCUGUGAGAAGGAACUACAAGACAGGU